CAAAAGGUUGGAGGCGGACCUGCUCUAACCAGAGCGGGAGCCCCAUUGGUACAGAACAGAGUCUUGUUCUCUGAGCUCCCGACCAGUAGAAGGGGGCUCCUGAGUGGCGCAGCGGUCUAAGGCACUACAUCUCAGUGCAAGAGGUAUCACUACAGUCCCUGGUUCAAAUCCAAGCGGCAUCAUAUCUGGCCAUGAUUCGGAGUCCCAUAGGGCGGUGCACAAUUGGCCCAGCGUUGGCUGGGGUAGGCUGUCAUUGUAAAUAAGAAUUUGUUCUUAACUGACUUGCCUAGUUAAAUAAAGGUCAAAUAAAAAAAUGUGGAUGCUACCAUGACUACAGAUAAUCCUGAAUGAAUUGUGUAUAAUGACAAGUGAGAAAGUUAGAGGGUCAACUAUCACACCCCCAAGACAUGCUAACUUUCUGCUCUUCACCCAGGUUUUCAUAUUCCACAACAUAUGAAAGGUGGACACUGUUACUGGGAGGUAGAGAAGAGUGGUCUGGAUGUAUAUAGCAGCCUCAUAUAAAGAUAUUAAGAGAACAGGUGGUUAGGAGUUAUCAUGGUGGUUAUCAUUUCAGACACAAUAAUGUUGAGAUUAAAGUAUCAGGCCCUCAGCCCUCCGAGUAGGAGUGUACCUGGAUCACAAAGCAGGUUCUCGGUCCUUCUACAGCAUUUCGGACUCAAUGCCUCUCCUCCAGAGUCCAGACCACAUUCACUCAGCCCCUCUAUCCUGGGUUUUGGACAUAAAAAGAUAGAGCUGUGUAAACUGUGAUCGAGGAAGCCUUACUAGAGAGAUGCUUUAUGUUCUUUAACCCUGUGCAAUUAUUGCAUUUUGUGAUCGAAGAUGUGAUCUUAAGUUUAGUCAACGUUUCAAUCUUGUACAUUCACCUCAAUGUAUGAUUCGAUGUACAUACUGAAUAACAACUUGAUAGAAACUUGUAAAUAAGAAUAUGUUCUUACUUGACUUGCCUGAUAUUGAAUUGCUUGCCUGAUACAAAUGACAAUACUUUAACAUUGAUAUCUUGAAACAAAUGUCAAUAAAUGAAGACUUCUAAUCUCAA